rnacentral:rRNA from 1 species
CAGUAGCCACGGGAACACGAGGGGCGCAAGCGUUAUUCGGAUUGAUUGGGUGUAAAGGGUGUGCAGACGGCUUAUUAAGUCACUUGUUAAAUUCUUCGGCCUAACUGAAGGUCUGCAAGUGAUACUGAUGAGCUAGAGGGUGGAAGAGAGAAGUGGAAUUCUCGGAGUAGCGGUAAAAUGCGUAGAUCUCGAGAGGAACACCAAUGGCGAAGGCAGCUUCUUGGUCCAUUCCUGACGUACAUACACGAAAGCGUGGGGAGCAAACGGGAUUAGAUACCCCAGUAGUCCCUGUCUCUUAUAA